CACUAGUCGAGAGCUGUUGUAACUCUCCGGAUGAGUCGGAGGCAGGACGAAACCAGUA
rnacentral:hammerhead_ribozyme from 1 species